CACAGUCCAAGCUACAAUGAACCUCCUAUGCUCAAUAACGAAGUUGGCUACUGCAAAAAGGGCGUAAUGGAGGUGUCUCUUUGCUCUCCCAAGGCCUGCCCGCCUGUUUCUCACGGCUUCUCCAUUAAGGACUGGAGUCAAACCCCCAUGAGCCCGUCCUCCUUGCACCCUGAGCUGGCAUGCAGACACUGACCACCAAACGACGAUGCUCCAGCUGCAUGACUCACUUCCACAGGCCAUAUAACAGCUCCCUGUCUUCAGCUAAUGAAGCACUUCUAGUCAUCUCAUUCCAAAUUAAAAAUAUGGCACUGCUGUUUUGCCAGAUAAGACAUGGGUGUAUUUUCCUAAUUCUUUUAUUUCUUGGUGACUAAAUUGGAAACAGACUGAACAAAGAAGAGAUAUUUCAUUAUAUGUCUGCAAAUAAAUGAUAUAUAA